GACGAACGCUGGCGGCGUGCUUAACACAUGCAAGUCGAACGGAAAGGCCUCUUUCGGGGGGUACUCGAGUGGCGAACGGGUGAGUAACACGUGAGUAACCUGCCCUUGACUUUGGGAUAACUUCAGGAAACUGGGGCUAAUACCGGAUAGGAGCUCCUGCUGCAUGGUGGGGGUUGGAAAGUUUCGGCGGUUGGGGAUGGACUCGCGGCUUAUCAGCUUGUUGGUGGGGUAGUGGCUUACCAAGGCUUCGACGGGUAGCCGGCCUGAGAGGGUGACCGGCCACAUUGGGACUGAGAUACGGCCCAGACUCCUACGGGAGGCAGCAGUGGGGAAUAUUGCACAAUGGGUGGAAGCCUGAUGCAGCAACGCCGUGUGCGGGAUGACGGCCUUCGGGUUGUAAACCGCUUUCGCUCAUGACGAAGCUUUGUGUGACGGUAGUGGGUAAAGAAGCACCGGCUAACUACGUG
rnacentral:rRNA from 1 species